AAGGAAAGAAUAGGAAAAAUCCUUAGCGCCGCAUCACUCACCUUGGACAGCAAAUUCACACACUCAGUGAUCUUUCUUCUUAAUUUCCUUCCAUAACACUCUACCUUUUUUCUCUGCGAUUGGUUGACAAGUUGAUCUUCAUAUUGUUGUCUACUAAUCGAAAUCACCCAAAAACUCCGUCUCUACCCGUUUUUGUCACCAUCUCUUUCUUUCGUUCUCAAGAUUAAUAAAGGUAUAAAUCAUGAGUUGAGUUCAGUGAGAUGUCCGGCGAGGCUCUCCGGUGGAGAUCUUGUUCGUGGUUUUGUCACUUUUGCGUUUCUAAGCUGCCACUCAUUUAAAUUUCAGAUUCAUUUGAGGUCUAUUUCUUCUUUUCUUCUUCUAUUUUGCUUAAUAUCAUGAUUUCAUUACUUCGCUAAUUUGUCGUUGCUUUGUUUCGUUAAAUAUUUGAACUGAUGCUUCUUUCCUCUAUUUCAAGAUGCCUUGGCAAUAUUUGAUUACUCGAUUUUUUUGUAAAUUAAUGUUUAUAUAUAUAUUAUUUAAUUUAAUCUGUUUGGAUGGGUUUUGAUGUCUAGAAUAAUUUUCUUUUUGAUUCCAUGUUUCCUUGCUUUAUUAAGAGAUAAUUGUUUUAAGCUUCACAAUUAAUAUUUUGAUGGCAACAGACUUAAAUUAACAAAAUUAAGCAGGCUGAUUUUGAACUAAUAAAGGGUGGGUGCAUUAUUUGGUGAGCAAUUUAAUAAUAUUAAGUUCUUAAGUUGCAAAAUGUAGGUUUUUCUGUUGAAUCAAAAGCAUUAGCAAUUUAGUCUUUUUGUAUAGAAUUUAUUUUGUUCGGAUCUUUCACUUUUUAUCUAAUCAUGUCUUUAGAAUUGAUAUUUCAAUUAUUAGGUCCAUCUGCUUUGCUCACCAUGUGGGAUUGAUUCACGAGUUAAGCCGAUAUCUAAUUCAAGUAAUUUGGCCGUAAAGUGUUGAGUUGAAGUAAACCUUUGGUUUAAUAAAUGGUGUACUUCAUCCACAAAGUUAUUUUCAUAAUUCAUGGCCUCACAACAAUCUCAAAUUAGUUUAGGAAAUAAUUAAUUAUGAACAUCCAUGGUUUGUUUUAGUUGAAUACAUUCUUUUGAAGCAAGUUGAGGUGCGCCAUUCGCAAGAAAACACCAUAACCCAUGGCCCUCACUUAACUAAUUUUAAUCCUUUAGAAAUCGGGGUGUGCCAUUUGGUUGAAUUUUCCAUGGCCCUCGCAAAAUUGAAAGUGCGUAGUUACUUUAGGCGCGAUAUUUAAAUUAAUCUCCUUAAACUCGGGUGUGCAUUUAUGUGACCCAAAUCCAACUCUCAACAAUGUUAGAUAAAAUAUGUCGGGGAUCGCGGGUGCAUUUAUGUGACAUGGUUCAAGACGUGUUUUAAAUAACGUUGAAAUCUUCCUAAAAAUAAUUAAAUAAAAGCGGUUUUAAAGUUAAAAUUGCACCAUAGGCUAAAACAUGUACUAAAAUCAAGUAAAUAGGCCAAUUAUAACAAUUGAGCGACCGUGCUAGAACCACGGAACUCGAGAAUGCCUAAUACCUUCUCCCGGGUUAACAAAAUUUCUUAUUCGAAUUUCUGUGUUCGCGGACUGUAAUACAGAUUCAAUCUUUUCCUCGAUUGGGGAUUUGAACCGGUGACUUGGGAUACCAUAAAUUAUCCCAAGUGGUGACUCUGAAUUUUACAUAAAAAUAAUCUCGUUUCGAUUGUCACUUUAAGUUGGAAAAAACUCCCUAUAUCCCUUUUUGGGUGUAGGUAAAAAGGAGGUGUGACAGCUUUGGCGACUCAGUUCAAAUAUUUAACAAAACAGAGCAACGACAAAUUAGCGAAAUAAUGAAAUCAUGAUAUUAAGCAAAAUAGAAGAAGAAAAGAAGAAAUAGACCUCAAAUGAAUCUGAAAUUUAAAUGAGUGGCAGCUUAGAAACGCAAAAGUGACAAAACCGCGAACAAGAUCUCCACCGGAGAGCCUCGCCGGUCAUCUCACUGAACUCAACUCAUGAUUUAUACCUUUAUUAAUCUUGAGAACGAAAGAAAUAGAUGGAGACAAAAAUGGGUAGAGACAGAGUUUUUGGGUUAUUUCUAUUAGUAGACAACAAUAUGGAGAUCAGUUUGUCAACCAAUCGCAGAGGAAAAAGGUUGGGUGUUAUGGAAGGAAAUUAAGAAGAAAGAUCACGGAGUGUGUGAAUUUGCUGUCCAAGGUGAGUGAUGCGGCGCUAAGGAUUUUUCCUAUUCUUUCCUUGUUCCUUCCGUUCUAUCUCCUCUCUACUGUAUAUCCCUUUUUAAGUAUCAAAAUGUGAGUGUCUAGAAAGCCCUAAAAACGUGUGUGCCCCCCAUUGCUGUGAGAUCUCACCAAAAUGCCUAUGUGCUCACAUGGAAUAAACAAAUAAGGACCCAACAACAAAAUGGAAAGCCACGUUCAAAUUUUGCAUUCUACUUUUUGCGCUUUUCAUUCUUUUCCUUCAGAUAUUUUUUCGUUUGUUUCUUUUUGGUUGCUUUAUUUGUUUGUUUUUUUUCUUUUUUUUUUCUAAAGUUGAAUUAAUUUUAAACAAAAUAGCUUCACAAAUUACUAAUUAUCUAAGUACAAUAGGUAAUAUUAAAAUAGAAAGAAAAUAAUCAUAUUAGAAAAAUCUAAAUCCUACUUAGCAUUCGCUAAAGAUCUACAACUUAAAAAUUGCACAAAACUAAGUAAAACUAUUUUGUGAAAGUUUUCUUACUAUCUUUUGUAAAAUAAAAUGUCAAUACUAUUUUUUGUAUUUUUUUCAAAAAUAAAACUAACUAGACAAAAUAUCAACUAGCUAGAAUAAGGGAAAUUAUUUUUGUAGUUUCUUUUUUUUUAGAUAAAAUAAAGUAAAGAUAGCGAUACUAAACCUAAACUGAAUAUUUACGCUAAAGUAUAAAUUUUUUUGGGGAGGGUCAAAAAUUACAUGUCUACAGUUGUCCCUCUUUGACUGGAAAUACGAAGUAUUUACAAACAAAGAACGACUAGACAGGUUUUUUGACCCGACCCUUAUUUACAGGGACCAAAAAACUAAGAGAAAUGAGAAUGUGACCGAGCUCUGGUCUCUAAGCUGCCUAUAUAUCCUUUGCUAUAAAGGAAUCAGGCCACGUGUAGUUCAGAAGUGAGUGAGAUGAUGGAGUAUGCCGAGGUGGAGAGCCGGUUGAGGUGCCGUUCCGUCGAGGUUCCGAUCCGCGGUCCUGUUAUUACAUCAAAAAUCAAAAAAAUGAAAAAGACUAACUAAGCCUGUCAACUAUGAGUUACAAGAUUCCUAUCUAUAAGUCUUCUGAAACUUGAUCUGGAGUCUUGAAUGGUUCUUCAUGCAGACUUUAGAUUUGAACCUCGGCGCUUGUUAGCUGAAGAUGCUAGCUCGUUCUUCUUUAGCUUUUUGGAUCAAGAUCGGACAUGCAGUGCUUUUAACCUUAGUCAUGUCUUGAGCAAUCCGCCUCUUGUUUCAGCUUCUGCAUUUUGGAUUCACUCCCUGUUUUCCCUUUUUUUUUCUUUUCUUAUAAUUUUUUUGUUGUAUUUGUUUUUUUUUUAAUUUUGGACUGAGAUUACUUCCAUUGAUCAUCUCCUCUGUUGACUCGCCUUCUUGCCGCGAGCUUCUGCUUCUUCUAACUUGAACUGUUUUCCUUUGAGACUUGAACUGCUUUCCCUUGAAACUCAAAAUGUUUUCCCUUGUUCUCAAGGUGGGCGCCUAAUUGCUGAAACUUGAACUGUCUUCCUUUAAAACUUACACUGCUUUUCCUCGAAACUUGAACUAUUUUUCCUUGUUCUCCAGGUGGGCGCCUGAUUCUACAACAAAACAGACAAAACCAAAGAAAUUUUUCUACCCCAGUUUACACUAGGAAGAUUUGUUAAUUGUUAGCAAAACUAUAAAUCACCUGCGCUGCUAAUGAAGGAUGCAAUGAUGAGAGUAAAAUUAAUGACUCGACUAGGAUGUGCGUCUCCUAUGCAUGAUUGAACUUGCGGAAAACUAUAAACUAAGCUUGACUAAAGUAAAGACUGACCCUAUUCUCCAAGUAGGACCCCUGAUUUCAAGAAAACUAAAAAUUUACCCUCUUUUUUCGAAUCCAGACUUCCCUUCUUCUUUUUUC
rnacentral:lncRNA from 1 species